UAUCAAGUAUCUUGACGAUGA
rnacentral:siRNA from 1 species